rnacentral:lncRNA from 1 species
AGUCAUUGUCCUUUGCUGUUUCUGUCAUCCCACCUCUCCUCUAUCGUUAAUUCCUUUUAAUUUUCUCUAAGAAAACCUCUUGAAUGGUAUCCCUCACCCCUGGGUGUCAUCACCUCUUGGCUUUUUGCCAUUAAUCUCUUCCAGAUGUGGUUCAGCAUCCUCAUCACCACCAGAUCUGUACUGCUAACAUUUUUUUUUUUUCCCUAAUGCAGAGAAAAUGGAAAGGAAAGAGUGAGUCUGAUCAUGUUGCAUUCUUGCUCCAACAGCAUCCUGGUCCCCACUUUCCUGGAGCAGCUUGCAGCAUGCCCAUGUGUGUUCCACAGGACCCUUCACUGGAAGGGUUGUCAGUAGUUCUGCAAAAAUGAUGUUCAGGUUAAACUGGUUUUACUUCCAUAUUUCUCAGCCUGUUAUGUCAAAUGUAUAUUAUGAAGCUCUGAAAGGACAUAAUUCAAAGCAGUAUUUUCUAAGCUGACUUGUUCACAGCACUCUUUUGUUAUUGUUCUCAUUUUGUUUUUUGUUUUUGCAAAGCAACUCAUGGAAUUAGUAUUCUGAGAAACAUAUGCUGGAAAACCCUAACCUGGAAGGUAAAAUAAUCUAGCUACUUGGACCUUCAGUGUCUUACCUCCCCUGCCACUCUGGCUCUCACCUCAGGACACGGAGCCACUACUUUAUUCACUCAGAACCUGACUCUGACCCCGUGCUUUCAUGCUUCCAUGCUUUUACAGUGAACUGCUACCUACCAGAAAUCUGCUGCAUCCACUCACCCCUGCCCCAUCAGGCACCCAUCACUAAACUUCUGUCAUCUCUGUAAAACCUCUACCCCUUGUAGAAUGAGCUACUCUCUCUUUACUUCAUAGCACAUCUUGUCCCUCCAUCAAUCAUCCAUCCCUGUAUCCAUCCAUCCAUUCAUCCAUCCAUCCAUGUAUCUGUCAACCCAUCUAUCCAUCCCUGUAUCCAUCCAUCCAUUCAUUCAUCCAUCAAUUGAUUCACAUAUCUGCCUUUUUUUAGUCUGUGAGCUGCCAGUCAGGCUGGCACCCAGUCUUACUCAUAUUUAUAUCCUGGUCACAAAGUACAUUGCUUAAUGCAGGUGCUUUACAAAUUAAUGUCCAAUUAAUUAAAAAAAAAACUUUAAGAAAAUCACAUAGUGUUUUGUUUUUAUCUCCAUAGAGGACUUCUGGUGUCUUGUAAGCAAACAUUAUUCCAGGCUGGAGAUUUAGAAAAUAACAUACUUUGUACCUUACAUCUUGUCAGCAUUUUGGCUGGACAUUAAGUUCUUCAACACCAGAGAAUACAUGUUUAAAAGCUGCGGGGUAGCACAGGAUUAAAAGCGCCCGUGUAAAAUCUUCCUUCGGGAUGGCAGGCAAUUGGUGGGGAAGCAUCCACCCUCUAAGAGUAAAUAGGAAUUGAAUUCUAUAAUUUCAUUAAGGAUAGGGAUCUAGUUUUUUUAAAUGCUGACUACAAAAGAGUUCUUCAAAAAAGAGUAAGUGCCUGUUGUCUGGUAUAAGCAAAAGUCCAGGUAACAUUGCUUAUCCCAGCUAACGCCGGGAAUCAAUGAAAAUGCAGUGAGCCCUCCCUUGUCUUGGGUACCCAGCUCCAUCUCAGAACAGCUUGACUGGGAGAAUCUGUGGAGGAUCUCAGCGAACAUUAGCUCCGAGUAUCCCUGUCUGUUGGUGGGAGGGUUGCCGUGAAAGCAAAACCAAAGGCUGAGCUAUUUCAGUUCACUGCGGCAGACGCCUGUUCGUAGAGCUCUUCAUUGUGCUGGAUCCAAGUUCUCUUGGGCUUUCCCUUCCAAGUGGGGAAUUCACGCAGAGGUGCUGGCUAAAGUGUCCCACAUCCCAUUCUUUUAGGUUUAAUGGUUUGACAUGAAUCACCGUGCAGGAUCAAGCUCUCAGAAGAGAAUUCAGCCUUUGCAACAAUGUUGAAAUAGAUGAACAAACAGAAUGAGAGGGGUCAGAGGGACCCUCCUCUCAGGAGAGCUAACCGGGAAGGUAGAGCUGGACCCCACCACCCUCAUCAUCAGCACCACAACUUAUUUAGUAAGGUCCUCUCAUGUCUUAAUGCUUAUUUAUGGUAUAAUGUCAGCUUCCAAAAUUGCAGUUCAGAAAGAAAACUCGAUUGCUCUUUUUUUUUUUUAAAUUGAAGUAUAGUUGAUUUACAAUGUUUUGUUAAUUUCUGCUGUAUAGCAAAGUGAUUCAGUUAUGCAUACACACAUUCUUUUUGGAAAUUCUUUUCUGUUAUGGUUUAUCACAGGAUAUUAAAUUUAGUUGUCUCUGCUUACAGCAGGUCCUUGUUGCUUAUCCAUUAUAUAUAUGGAGAGAGAUAUAUAUAUACAUAUAAUGUACAUAUACAUAUAUAUUAUAUACACAUACGUAUAUAUUAUACAUACACAUAUACAUAUACAUUAUAUUAUAUACAUUAUAUAUGUAUUAUAUGUAANNNNNNNNNNNNNNNNNNNNNNNNNNNNNNNNNNNNNNNNNNNNNNCUGUUUCAUAGAUAGGUUCAUUUGUGUCAUAUUUUAGAUUCCACAUAUAAGUGAUAUCAUGUGGUAUUUGUUUUUCUCUUUUCAACAUAGUAUGAUAAUCUGUAAGUCCAUCUAUUUUGCUGCAGAUGGCAUUCUUUUUUAUGGCUGAGUAGUAUUCCCCCCCACACAUAUACACACACCAUCUUCUUUAUCCAUUUUUCUGUUGAUGGACAUUUAGGUUGUUUCCAUGUCUUGGCUGUUGUGAAUAGUGCUGCUGUGAACAUAGGGGUUCGAAUUAUAGUUUCAUUUGGAUAUAUGCCCAGGAGUGGGAUUGCUUGAUCAUAUGGCAAAUCUAUUUUUAGUUUUUUGAGGAACCUCUAUACUGUUCUCCACAGUAGCUCCAUCAGCUUACACCUCUACCCACCAUGUAGGAAAAUUCCACUGUUCUGUAAAGUACCAUUCAAACAUUAUGGAACUGCAUAUUGGUAUUUUGUCAAUAGUGUGUUUAAAAUGUAAUUUUAAGUACUUUCACUCUUGGAAAGAUCUAGGUCAACUUGGUUAGGCAUUAUCUUGCAGUUUCUACCUUUCUCUUAGCUUACUGACGUCUGUAGCUGUCUCUAAGGAUUAUUUUUCCUUAGGCAAAAUAGCAUAAUAACACACCAUUGAAAAAAAUAUGCUUAGAACCCCAUUUUGCUGAAAAUGACGUGUUUUGACCUGCUUCUUUGCUUUAAAUUAUAGCAAUGAUGAAAUACACAGUAGAAAUUUGUUUAACACCCACACCUUUUUUUUGGGGGGGGGGGCAAUCAGUUUAAUGUAUUAGACAGGAAGCUGUCCUAGAGCAUUUAAGCAUAAACAUGUGGCCAGUCUCAAAAAGUAAAACUUGAGACUUGAUAAAGAUUGUUAAUCAAGACACUGCUGGAACCGUAUCAGGAAGUUUGGGGUCCCUGGAUGAACUGGGUUAUGUGAAGAGGUCCUGGCUAAAACUGGUGAGUAGGUCAUUGAGAAUCAGCACACUUAGCACACGCCUUGAUGGUCCUUUUAAUUUAAUUUUUUUCCUUCUUGUGGAAGUACCAUGUAUCUACGGAAAAGUGAUUCUAAAUAUAUAGCUUGAAGACAUUUUACAAAUUGAACACAUCUCUGUACCUAUCACCCAGAUUAAGAAAUAGGGCAUUACCAGACCCCUAGAGGUUCUCUGAUGCCCCCUUCCAGGACUGACCCCACCCUCACGCAUGACCAGUCUUCUGACUUCCAACAGCAAAAAGACUAUUGCCCAUGUUCAUACUUCAUAUCAUUUGCUCCUUUUGUUUGUGAGAUUCAUUCACAUUGUGUGCACUGUAGGUUGUGGAGUGGCAUUCCAUUAAUUUGUCCUUACCUACCUGUUUUUAUUAUAAUUUUAUCAUUUCAUUAAUUUUAUUUCUCUGAUUUAACUGCACGCCAAUUUACCUUUAAAAAGGUCAAAUGCUAUUCCUUUCACUGCAUCUGCCAUGCAAUCUUUUAAAAUGUGGAUAAAUGAGGCAGCAAUAAAUUGAGCCAGUUUUACGAGUAGAGGAAACUGGUAGCACAUUUGCAUUAUUUGAAAGAGGUCACGUCCGUGGCAGUCCAUUCCAAUUCUGAACGUGUAAAAAGAAAGUGAAUUUGGGAGAGUGCCAAGAUCAAUUUAGUUGCAAGAUAAUGACAGAAAUGUAUUUAAGGUUUGAACAUUGGCAUGUGCUUUCUCAUUGGAUGAUUUUUUGGGCCACGCCCACACCGGGCCAGGGAUCGAACCCCUGCUAUAGCAGUGACAAUGCUGGCUCCUUAACCAGCUGAGCCACCAGGGAACUCCCGGAUGAUAUGUUUAAGAGACUUUUUCAAAGCAGAAAAGGUAAAUUUGGUUUCGUUACCCAGAACAAAAUUUCCAAUAUAUAAAUACCUCACAUCUGUGUAUUUGUUUUGCCGCAGACAGAACCAGCAAGAGUUUAGUGAUGAAAUCUGUUCUUAAUUAUGAGAGCAGCUGUUGGAGUGGUAGCCAUUUUUUUUCCUCCUGAUGUGAAGUUGCCUGGUUUACUCAUUUUUGCCUGCAUUUUUCAGGGUUGCUAGUGCAGAAAAGAGCCCCUUUGUGAGAGGUUGCAAUUUGUUUUCUGUCUGAGAGCCAGGGCAAAUGGACUAAAUCUGCACAGCAGGGUGGUUUUAUCUGUCUUCCUCGUGCCCCACAAGCUGUCCUUACCUCUGCUCAGCACCAGAGACCUAUAAAACCACCCAACAAAUGAGGGGCCUGUUAAGUGUUCUGGCAAGACUCUCCGGCAGCAAGCAGUUCAUGUGAAUUAACUAGGUCCUCCUGAUGAGGCGGGGUGGUGGAGCUGGAUGGUACAGAGCUGGAACAGAUGGUAGUAACAUACUAGUUUGUUUUGAGGUCUGUAGAUUUAUUAACAUACCUUUCCCCAUUUCCAUUCGGUUGUUUUUACACCCAAAGGGCUAUCGCACAGUUCUCAUCAGGUAGCUUACCAAAAACAAAGCAAAAACACGCUUAGAUUAUCCUGCAGGUUAUUUCUAAGCCAUCAUAAUUCUCAGUCCAGGCCUUCACAGAAGGGGCCAGUGUUUAAUUUUUCUAGGUAUCUCAUAGCAUCCUGAAGUAAAGACUUUGGAUGAAACUGGAUAUGGCAGCUGAGUGAAGAGCGUCUGGAUUUAAAAGCUUGGUACCUCCCCUUUGUAUACAGAAAUCAGUGAAUUGUUUAUUGAAAGGAAUGAACCCCCCAUAUGAGUCUUAGCUGCAGUGUGCUUUUGUUCGCUCUCCAUAUCAUUUCAACUCUUGCCACAGUUCCCCAACACAGGAAACCUGACAUUUUAAAAAAUAAAGGUCAUUUAUACCAUGUCAUAAAAUUAAAAAAUAAAAGGCAGUUGCAAAAAUGCAAAGGCCGAGUUACAUCUUGACAAACUGGGAGGAAAACCCUUUCAUAAUUUGGAUUAUUUUAUGUAGAAGUGGAAAGAGCUUUUCUUUCUCAUGCCUGAAAACCAGCAUUUUAUAAGCUUUGUGAAGUGGAUUUCUUCUGAAAUUAGUGAAAUUAAAACUAAGGUUUAGAUGAUUUUUUUUUUUUUUUUUUUUUUUUUUUUUCCUGCUCAGCUGGCACUUUCUGGAGCCGUGGAGUGUAACUAUUGCAAAAACCUUCAGAGUUCUCAGUACUCUUAAACCUUCUGAAAACUGCUUGCCUGGCAGCAUUAUUCCCUUUCUGAUUUUAAUUAAACACAAACCAGUGUAGAACAAUUAUCUGAGUAAUUCAGUCCAUUAAAGCCUCUUUAAACAAAGAAUUGAAGGAGAAGUGAAUUUUUCUCACCUAAGUGGUCCAGAUAAUUAUGGUUUUGCCUUCUGGCCCUUCUGAGGUCAACUGGAUAAAAAGGUCCCAGUCCUGGUUAUCUUCAGCCUCUUCCUGCAGGUAGCCAACUGUGCCAGAUCCUUGAAGGUCAAAACAUUUUGAAGUUCUCUGGUGGCACAGUGGGUCAAGGAUCCAGAGCUGUCACUGCAGCGGCUUGGGUCUCUGCUGUGGCGCGGGUUUGAUCCCUGGCCUGGUAACUUCUGCAUGCCCUGGUUACAGCCACCUUUUGGUUUAACAAAAACCAAAUAAAACAAUCAAAAAAAAAAAAAAA